rnacentral:rRNA from 1 species
CCUGGGAAACUGGGUCUAAUACCGGAUAUGACCUUCCAUCGCAUGGUGGUUGGUGGAAAGCUUUUGUGGUUUUGGAUGGACUCGCGGCCUAUCAGCUUGUUGGUGGGGUAAUGGCCUACCAAGGCGACGACGGGUAGCCGGCCUGAGAGGGUGACCGGCCACACUGGGACUGAGACACGGCCCAGACUCCUACGGGAGGCAGCAGUGGGGAAUAUUGCACAAUGGGCGCAAGCCUGAUGCAGCGACGCCGCGUGAGGGAUGACGGCCUUCGGGUUGUAAACCUCUUUCAGUAGGGAAGAAGCGAAAGUGACGGUACCUGCAGAAGAAGCGCCGGCUAACUACGUGCCAGCAGCCGCGGUAAUACGUAGGGCGCAAGCGUUAUCCGGAAUUAUUGGGCGUAAAGAGCUCGUAGGCGGUUUGUCGCGUCUGCCGUGAAAGUCCGGGGCUCAACUCCGGAUCUGCGGUGGGUACGGGCAGACUAGAGUGAUGUAGGGGAGACUGGAAUUCCUGGUGUAGCGGUGAAAUGCGCAGAUAUCAGGAGGAACACCGAUGGCGAAGGCAGGUCUCUGGGCAUUAACUGACGCUGAGGAGCGAAAGCAUGGGGAGCGAACAGGAUUAGAUACCCUGGUAGUCCAUGCCGUAAACGUUGGGCACUAGGUGUGGGGGACAUUCCACGUUUUCCGCGCCGUAGCUAACGCAUUAAGUGCCCCGCCUGGGGAGUACGGCCGCAAGGCUAAAACUCAAAGGAAUUGACGGGGGCCCGCACAAGCGGCGGAGCAUGCGGAUUAAUUCGAUGCAACGCGAAGAACCUUACCAAGGCUUGACAUGAACCGGUAACGCCUGGAAACAGGUGCCCCGCUUGCGGUCGGUUUACAGGUGGUGCAUGGUUGUCGUCAGCUCGUGUCGUGAGAUGUUGGGUUAAGUCCCGCAACGAGCGCAACCCUCGUUCUAUGUUGCCAGCACGUGAUGGUGGGGACUCAUAGGAGACUGCCGGGGUCAACUCGGAGGAAGGUGGGGACGACGUCAAAUCAUCAUGCCCCUUAUGUCUUGGGCUUCACGCAUGCUACAAUGGCCGGUACAAAGGGUUGCGAUACUGUGAGGUGGAGCCAAUCCCAAAAAG